AAAGGAAACUUCACAUUUAAUAAGAAUAUCUGUAUAAAAGAGGAAGUUAGAGUUUUUCAGUUGCCUAAGAUCUUUGGAUAACAUAUCGAAACUGAUGACAAGAGGUGAUAGGAACCAACACAUUCCAAAUAAAGGUACUAGAUACAUCCACAUGAAGUUUAUUCUAAGAUAGUAAAGCUGAUCCAGAAGACUGCUACACUUUCUAUUGUAUAUGAGAUUAGAAAUAAAAGAUUCAUUGAUGGGAAUCUUUAGGAAUAGGGAUAACUUCUCCCUGCAAGACAAAGGAAUAGUAUGCUCCCUUCAUUCUAGCAGAAACCAUUUGUAGAUAUUAGUGUUUCCAUGUGAGGGAGAGGCAUUACAUUCAUUCAGCAUUACAUUCUCUAGAUAAAGACUUGCUAAGCUCAGAAAUGUACAGACCCAUCUCCAUUUGGCCACCAGAGUGGAAUGUGGCACAGAGGAUUCUUGGGAGAACAUAACCUGAAUCACUUAUGAGGAUCUGGAGCCAUGUGAAUUAUAGAGACUGGCACUUCUCACAUAUAUGAGUCAGGCUGGCUGGGACAAGGCAGUGUGAGAAAAGCAAGCUGCUGGCUGGGUUGCACUUAUAGUUUGGCAGGACAAAUAUGUAUGCAUUUCCUGUGGGUUCCAUGAAAGGUAACCAGUCUUGAGGGUUUGCUGGGACCAUUCCCAGGAGGGCUGUGUACGAGGGUGAGGCACUUUAGCACAAGGAGGCUGUGGAUACAUUGUCAGGGUCAGGGGCUGAAGAGCUGAAGGGCAGUGUGGGCUGUGCAUCAAAAAGAGGCAAUCAAAGUCAGUUAGUGCUCCAGUCCUCAUGGAGAGCUCCAGAGAACCCCAAUAGCUCAAACAGGAGUCAACAUUUAAAUGCUUGUCUGCACAGAACACACCAAUGGUACAUUAAUCACAUAAGUUGAGACUUUAUCCUCUAAUAUGCCCUCCCCCAUUCCAAUCCUAGAAGAGACAGAGGAGGUAAAGAAUGAGUGAAAUAAUGACCAUGUUCUCCCAAACCACUGAGGUAGAGGAACAGCAGCUUUAAACUGGAUGAGCUGCUGGCAGGUCCCCGAGAUGUGGCAAAGGGUGGGGAUGAAAAACAUACAUACAUACGUAUGUAUCUGUAAUAUUAUAUAUUAUACAUAUACUUGUUUUAUUUAUUUAUUGAGACAGGAUCUCAGUUACCCAGGCUGGAGUACAGUGGCACAACCAUAGCUCACUACAGCCUGAAACUCCCAGGCUCAAGCAAUCCUCCCACCUCAGCCUCCCUAGUAGCUGAGUAGCUCCCCAAAACAUAUUUAAAAUGUUAAUACUUUAGAUUGGUUUCAGUCAUGUUAUAGGGAAUAAUGGAACUUAUUUAUACCAGAGUAUUAACAAUGUAGAAGGACCCUUGAAAUGAAGCCAAAAAGAUAGGGGCUGUGGCAAUUAGGGAGACUUCCAAGAAGUCUAAUACUAAGUAGGGCAUCCCUGCUUAAUCAAUAACACUUCAUUUUGUGACUGUGAGACAAGAAAACUACAGAGACCUCAUCCCUAACAUCCUUCAGCCCCUGAACCAAUGCCAAGUCACCUAACUCCAGGUUAUAUGACAAAAAAAAAAAAAAAAAAUCUGCUUAGGACAUUCUUUAGUGGGAUUUGUUUUUCCGGUCACAGACACAAUGACUGAUUUUAAGAGUAUCUCAACUCCCUAUUGGGAGUAUAUGUUUUCCCCUGAUUUGAAAUUCAUGGGACAAAUAGAAAGUGUUGACUGGCAUCUAGCAAGAUAAUUAAAUAUUUGAAACACCCUGAAGGAAACAAAGAGGGUAUUGUGGUCAAAAGUAAGGUGGACAGGAUACCAUAGAAGAUAUAUCCAGUGUAUAUA
ensembl:lncRNA